GACGAACGCUGGCGGCGUGCCUAACACAUGCAAGUCGAACGGGGAAUUAGCAAUAAUUCUUAGUGGCGAACGGGUGAGUAACGCGUAGACAACCUACCCUUUAGAUGGGGACAACACCGCGAAAGUGGUGCUAAUACCGAAUAUUGCUUGAGAAGCGCAUGCUUUUCAAACUAAAGAUGGCCUCUAUUUAUAAGCUAUCGCUAAAGAAUGGGUCUGCGUCUGAUUAGCUAGUUGGUGAGAUAAAAGCUCACCAAGGCAACGAUCAGUAGCCGGUCUGAGAGGAUGAACGGCCACACUGGGACUGAGACACGGCCCAGACUCCUACGGGAGGCAGCAGUGGGGAAUCUUCCGCAAUGGACGAAAGUCUGACGGAGCAACGCCGCGUGAGUGAUGAAGGUUUUCGGAUCGUAAAACUCUGUUGUUAAGGACGAAUGUAUAGAUUGUGAAUAAUGGUUUAUAAUGACGGUACUUAACGAGGAAGCCACGGCUAACUACGUGCCAGCCGCCGCGGUAA
rnacentral:rRNA from 1 species